rnacentral:lncRNA from 1 species
UUUGAAUUCCCUAUUUUUCUUCAAUUGUGUUUCUUAUAUCUGAUUUUAUAAUCCUCUCUCUAUUUUUAUUUUUUUUGUUUUGAAAUUAUUGUUGCUUAGUUGUCAUAUUUAUUAGGAUUUGUUUCUAUGUUUUAGUUAAUAAUAAUCACUACCUUUUAGGAGUUGUUAGUGGGAUUUAGAUGCUUAGUUGUCAUAUUUAUUAGGAUUUGUUUUUAUCUUUUAGUUAAUAAUAAUCACUACCUUUUAGGAGUUGUUAGUGGGAUUUAGAUGGUUUUCUCAAAUACAAUAUAACUGAUUUGUUUUUGUUAAAUUUUAGAUUUUCUUUUUUUAGAUUUUGUAUCUUUUUUUUUAUUUGAUUUGUUUCAAUUUUAAUUUGUUUUAUUUGUUAUUCCAAAGCAGCGUGGUUUCCUUCUUUUAUUUUCCUUCCCACACGUUGUUGCUUUCUUUCUCCAUCUUUGCACCAUUCCAUUUUGGUGAAAAACCAAAAGCUGCUUUGCAAUCCUAUUUUACAAGCUUUGACCAAAACUUAAAUUUCAUAAGCUUUGGCAGAAAAGAUGUAGCGUCACUUUCAUCUAUCUCUCUCAAAGCAAAAUAUUGCAGCACUACUCUGUUGUUUUUUGUUUUGUUGGCUGAUUUCAAAAUUCAAAAUUCAAUUUCUCCCUCUAACUCACUUUCUAACUCAUCUCACUCCAUUUUUUCUUGAUUCGUUCUCUCCAAAUGUUUCAAAUUGCUUCUCCAUC